GAUGAAGAACGUAGCGAAAUGCGAUAAGUAGUGUGAAUUGCAGAAUUCAGUGAAUCAUCGAAUCUUUGAACGCACAUUGCGCCCUUUGGUAUUCCUUAGGGCAUGCCUGUUCGAGCGUCAUUUAAACCUUCAAGCUAAGCUUGGUGUUGGGUGACUGUCCGCUUCACGGCGGACUCGCCUCAAAAUUAUUGGCGGCCGGUACAUUGGCUUCGAGCGCAGCAGAAACGCGAACUCGGGCCCGUCGUAUUGGCUCCCAGAAGCUAUCUUCACAAUUUUGACCUCGGAUCGGGUAGGGAUACCCGCUGAACUUAAGCAUAUCAAUAAGCGGAGGA
rnacentral:misc_RNA from 1 species